CCUACGGGCGGCAGCAGUGGGGAAUAUUGGACAAUGGGGGCAACCCUGAUCCAGCCAUGCCGCGUGUGUGAAGAAGGCCCUUGGGUUGUAAAGCACUUUCAGUGAGGAAGAACGCCUGGUGGUUAAUACCCAUCAGGAAAGACAUCACUCACAGAAGAAGCACCGGCUAACUCCGUGCCAGCAGCCGCGGUAAUACGGAGGGUGCGAGCGUUAAUCGGAAUUACUGGGCGUAAAGCGCGCGUAGGUGGCUUGAUAAGCCGGUUGUGAAAGCCCCGGGCUCAACCUGGGAACGGCAUCCGGAACUGUCAAGCUAGAGUGCAGGAGAGGAAGGUAGAAUUCCCGGUGUAGCGGUGAAAUGCGUAGAGAUCGGGAGGAAUACCAGUGGCGAAGGCGGCCUUCUGGACUGACACUGACACUGAGGUGCGAAAGCGUGGGUAGCAAACAGGAUUAGAUACCCCGGUAGUC
rnacentral:rRNA from 1 species